rnacentral:rRNA from 1 species
UAGGGCCUACGGGACGCAGCAGUGGGGAAUAUUGGUCAAUGGGACAGAUCCUGAACCAGCCAAGCCGCGUGAGGGAAGACGGCCCUAUGGGUUGUAAACCUCUUUUGUCGGAGAACAAAACCCGGGACGUGUCCCGGACUGCGUGUAUCCGAAGAAAAAGCAUCGGCUAACUCCGCGCCAGCAGCCGCGGUAAUACGGAGGAUGCGAGCGUUAUCCGGAUUUAUUGGGUUUAAAGGGUGCGUAGGCGGUCCGUUAAGUCAGCGGUAAAAUUGCGGGGCUCAACCCCGUCGAGCCGUUGAAACUGC